ACUGCCCCUGUAAGUGUUACAGGUAUGGCUGCUGUGUCACAUGUGAGUCUGUAGUUGAAGAGGAGAAAGAGGCUAUGUUUACACUCAGUGGUCUGUCCUACAAACAUCUGAGUGAUUAGUGGUCUAACACU